AUUGAACGCUGGCGGCAUGCUUUACACAUGCAAGUCGAACGGUAACAGGCCGCAAGGUGCUGACGAGUGGCGAACGGGUGAGUAAUGCAUCGGAACGUGCCCAGUCGUGGGGGAUAACGCAGCGAAAGCUGCGCUAAUACCGCAUACGAUCUAUGGAUGAAAGCGGGGGACCGUAAGGCCUCGCGCGAUUGGAGCGGCCGAUGUCAGAUUAGGUAGUUGGUGGGGUAAAGGCUCACCAAGCCAACGAUCUGUAGCUGGUCUGAGAGGACGACCAGCCACACUGGGACUGAGACACGGCCCAGACUCCUACGGGAGGCAGCAGUGGGGAAUUUUGGACAAUGGGCGCAAGCCUGAUCCAGCAAUGCCGCGUGCAGGAAGAAGGCCUUCGGGUUGUAAACUGCUUUUGUACGGAACGAAACGGUCCGGGUUAAUACCCUGGGCUAAUGACGGUACCGUAAGAAUAAGCACCGGCUAACUACGUGCCAGCCGCCGCCGUAACAC
rnacentral:rRNA from 1 species